rnacentral:pre_miRNA from 2 species
UCAUGAGCUGUUGGAUUCGGGGCCGUAACACUGUCUGAGAGGGUUACAUUUCUCACAGUGAACCGGUCUCUUUUUCAGCUGCUUUCUGGCUU